GACGAACGCUGGCGGCGUGCUUAACACAUGCAAGUCGAACGGAAAGGCCCCCACCUUGGUGGGGGUGCUCGAGUGGCGAACGGGUGAGUAACACGUGGGUGAUCUGCCCUGUACUUCGGGAUAAGCUUGGGAAACUGGGUCUAAUACCGGAUAGGACCAUGGUUUAGUGUCUCAUGGUGGAAAAAUUAUUGUUUUGGUGCAGGAUGAGCUCGCGGCCUAUCAGCUUGUUGGUGGGGUAAUGGCCUACCAAGGCGUCGACGGGUAGCCGGCCUGAGAGGGUGGACGGCCACAUUGGGACUGAGAUACGGCCCAGACUCAUACGGGAGGCAGCAGUGGGGAAGAUUGCACAAUGGGCGCAAGCCUGAUGCAGCGACGCCGCGUGGGGGAUGACGGCCUUCGGGUGGUAAACUCCUUUCGUUAGGGACGAAGCCACACCUUUUUGGGGUGUGGUGACGGUACCUUUGUUAAGAAGCACCGGCUAACUACGUG
rnacentral:rRNA from 1 species